AAGGGAGGAAACAAAUCAUGCGAAUUCCAAUGGUUACACUCCAAUCUACACUGUGGGUUUUACUGUCCAUUAACUCCGUAAUAUAUCUCUGCUACUCGAUGCUUUUUCCCAAAACACGAACACAUCAGGGGACAGGUUUCGAGGAAUCACCGUGUGUAGAUAUUUUGUUGACGAUACAAACGUGGGUUCCUCGAUUGAUGACCAACCUUUGCUUUCAGCUAUGCCCCAAUGUGCAGCCUGGAAUGUUUAAACACUUUGUGCAGUACUCUUACGUGUGAAGAUGAUUCCGAAAUGUAUAUUCUCUUUUGGAACGAUUGCAUGUUGGAAUUACAUAAACAGUGUGUCAAUAUCCAAAUCAUGCAGCUUCGAAGCUACGGGCUUGAGUUGUAGUUUCAUAUAAAAAAUUCUGAAACGAGUUCAGGAAUUUUGUUUGCAUGAGAACCUUUAGCGAUCUUACUAAAAUGUUCCGAUUUAAGUUUGAUAAAUAACGGUAUUAAAUGACAAAAUGUUUUUAAAUCAGCUAGAAAAAAUAAUGUGUACUCUAAGUAAUUUCAAAACCGGAAAAAAUCAUGGCGUGACGUCACUUGACGUUUUGACGUCGUUGCAGAACAAUAAAGGAAUAUGGUUGGUAAUUCAAACAGAAAGCAGCACAUAAAAAGAGCAUAACAGGUAACUGCAUGAUAGUUUUGUAAUAUAUCAGGCGAGGCUAAGAAUACAAUUAAUGGUUAGGCAUCUUGGUAUCAAAUUGUUUCUCCUGUUGAAUUUGAUUAUAUUUUAACAAAAUGAUAACUUAAGAUUGAUUUCGAUUAAUAUGAACUACCUUUAAACAUUGACUGAUAUAACAACUUCAAGUUGAACGGAUAUAAAAAUAAAAUAUACAUCAAGCAGCGUUAUAUCAGGCAGAUAUCAAUGUAGCGGUAUGAUUAACACGCUAACAAAACGAUAUUACUUAUAUUUGGUGAUUUGUGAUAGUUUCAGGUUUUUGUUUUUCCCAACUAUCCAGAAUGUUUAUUAUUUUGUACACGAUGAUUGUAUAUAUCUGGGUAUAUAUAUGAAAUAAAUAUGAAAUGGAAAAUAAAUAAAAAGUUACUGAUUU